GCAACGACAUAUGAAAAAUAUUUAUUGUUAUGUUAUUGACAAAUAAAAUUGCGAAAAGUUUUACUUUUUAUGUUUCAUUGAAUCACACCAUACACGAUUAUCCAACACGGAAGUAUAUUUAACGAGCAGUGACCUCAAGCCGCCAGUUUGGCUAUAUAUGGCAAAAAUUGUUCAACUAAGGCCAACGCGUUCUUUCCUAGAGUUCGUGCUUAUAAGUCAUCGUGUACUGGCCGAGGAUGUUCUAAAUCGAUCAAAUCACAUGUAUGUGUAGACAAGUGCUAAGACAUAUUCGUAUGGAACACGCAAUAAAUCCAUGUGACGCGCGCCUUCCGCAUGAUAGAACAUUCAUUGUGCUCAUACGCUUUGUCUUCCGGGAGUUGAUAUGGGUGUAAUAUAGAAUGAGGAAACUCUAAAAAAAUAGCUUAGAUUACAUUUAAUGAACUAAACUAAGCGUAUCCAUCCACUUAAAUAUGCACACGCAAGCGAAACCGGCGGGUCGCGUGGCUGUUCUUACUCACGCUUACCUACGAGCUACUGCGCACUAGACUCCCUUCUUCAAAUAACGUUAAGGGUGAGCUUGCCGGCGAGGUCGGGCGCAGAGUCGCGUGCAGCGGCGAGAAGCGCAUCGGGCGGCAGCGCACUGCGGAGCGCUGGUUGCAGCAUCGCUGCGACGCCGCCUUGAGCCAACCAAGUUG